rnacentral:rRNA from 1 species
AUUGAACGCUGGCGGCAGGCCUAACACAUGCAAGUCGAACGAGUGGCGGACGGGUGAGUAAUGUAUGGGAACCUGCCUGAUGGAGGGGGAUAACUACUGGAAACGGAAGCUAAUACCGCAUACCAUCGGAUGUGCCCAGAUGGGAUUAGCUAGUAGGUGGGGUAAAGGCUAACCUAGGCGACGAUCCCUAGCUGGUCUGAGAGGAUGACCAGCCACACGGGAACUGAGACACGGUCCAAACUCCUACGGGAGGCAGCAUUGGGGAAUAUUGCACAAUGGGCGAAAGCCUGAUGCAGCCAUGCCGCUUGGAUGAAGAAGGCCUUCGGGUUGUAAAGUACUUUCAGCGGGGAGGCGUUACCCGAAGAAGAAGCACCGGCUAACUCCGUGCCAGCAGCCGCGGUAAUUC